rnacentral:rRNA from 1 species
GACGAACGCUGGCGGCGUGCCUAAUACAUGCAAGUCGAACGCAGUGGGGACGGGUGAGUAACACGUGGGUAACCUCCCAUCAGAGGGGAGAACACUUGGAAACAGGUGCUAAACCGAUACUGAAGGAGGGACCAGCGGUGGAAUAGGUAGUUGGUGGGGAAACGGCUCACCAAGGCCACGAUGCAUAGCCGGUCUGAGAGGGUGAUCGGCCACACUGGGACUGAGACACGGCCCAGACUCCUACGGGAGGCAGCAGUGGGGAAUCUUCGACAAUGGGCGAAAGUCUGACCGAGCAACGCCGCGUGAGUGAAGAAGGUUUUCGGGUCGUAAAACUCUGUUGUUAGGGAAGCGGUAUCUAACCAGAAAGCCACGGCUAACUACGUGCCAGCAGCCGCGGUAAUUC